GGUGUGUUUAAUUUUGGCUAUUUGGUUGGUGUGAGUCUUGAUAUACAUGUAAGUUUGUGCGAGUGGUAAUUUCUUGCUUUUAUAGGGUAAAUUUAUUUUUGUUCGCAGUGUGUUGGGUUGUGUGUGUGGUCAACCAUGACGCAGCGGGUCUCUUUAGCAUCAGACAAACUUUGUGCCAGCAGUCGCGGUUACACAGGGUGUGCGAGUUAGCCUUUUCGGUUGAGGUAAUUAAUUGUUUUUAAGGUUUGAUUUUAAUUGGUUAAUGUUUGUUAGGUGAAAUUUCAGCUUCCUUUAUUAUCUUGGGGUUUUAUUUGAGGUUACGAAGCUCUGGCUUUAGACUAGGAUUAGAUACCCUAUUAUUCGGAGUGUAAAUUUGGUUACCUGGGUAGUAUUUGUUAAGGUCAUGAAACUUAAGGAAUUUGGCGGUAUUUUAGUCUUCUCAGAGGAACCUGUUCUGUAAUUGAUGGUCCACGAUUUAUUUUACUUUAUUUAGUAGUUUGUAUAUCGUCGUUAUCGGAAAAUUUUUUGAGAAAAGGAAUUUUCUUUCUUCUUUUUGAUUGAUUUAUUUCAGAUCAAGAUGCAGCCUAUGAUAAAGAAGAAAUGGGUUACAUUGAAUUUAUUUGUGGAUGCUCGUUUUAAUAAGCUUGUUGAGAUUGGAUUUGAUUGUAAUGUCUUUAAAUUUUUGGGCAUGGUCUUGGCUCUAGAAUAUGUACAUAUUGCCCGUCACUCUCUCCACAAGGAGAGAUAAGUCGUAACAUAGUAGGCGUACCGGAAGGUGUGCCUAGAAAGUC
rnacentral:ncRNA from 1 species